UACGGAGGGUGCGAGCGUUAUCCGGAAUUACUGGGUUUAAAGGGUGCGUAGGCGGCUGAAUAAGUCAGUGGUGAAAGGUGGCAGCUUAACUGUCAAAUUGCCAUUGAAACUGUUUAGCUUGAAUGAGGAUGAGGUUUGCGGAAUGUGGCAUGUAGCGGUGAAAUGCAUAGAUAUGCCACGGAACACCGAAUGCGAAGGCAGCAGACUGGACCUUAAUUGACGCUGAGGCACGAAAGCGUGGGGAGCGAAC
rnacentral:rRNA from 1 species